CCUUAGAGCCACCGGGCAUGUACCACAACGAUGAUCCUACAUAUGACCCUGCCUAUGAACCAUCGUACGACAAGAGUUUUGAAAUGCUCUUGCUUUUCACGCCAGCACCAUCCACCGCGAUGGAAGAGGGACCAUCGAGUGGCCCGUAACGGACUCCUGCUUGGAUGCAGAGAUGACUCGUCGCGGUCACUACAGCAACGGCGUAUCGGGCGACGCGGAAACCACCAACGGGAACAACACUGUGUUUUUUGAACUAAACCCUAUGUCACCGACAUACGCCGAAUGGUCAUCGGUAUCAGCGAGAUUCUGGAACAACGCCCCCCUCGAUUUGCGCUUCAGUGGGCACGGCAGCACCCGAGCGAUGCAGCCACGAAUGAACCUUUUCGUCUUUAUCGUGCAGCGAGGACGAGGAAACCGAUGAAGGCAACCCACAAGGGGAGAACAAGUACAUUGUGUAUGAAAGCUGCCUGCUUGAAUGUUUCAAGGUGUGCGUAACAUGUCUAGCACCCUGCAAGCCAUCACUAAGUUUGAGCGGGAGCUGCCUUACUGUUCUCACGGAAUGCUGCAACGGCGAUCGGCACUCUUGGUCAAGUCGGCCAUACGUGGGACGGAAGCCAGCUGGGAACAUUGAUCUUUGUGCUGGCAUACUGUUCUCUGGUUCAAGCCCUGCCCCAGCACUCAGGAUGAUGCGGCUGAUGAACCUUCGGGUCAUCUCAGAGCGCACUUUCCAUGAGUACCAGGAAGCGUACCUCCUCC